UCUGAGGCCGCGAAAAAUUGAAUUAAAAUUUUAGAACUCAAAAAUCCCGCCACGAAUUUUGUUCUCCCGCUCCCUAAAUUUGAGUCAAUAAAAAACAAAGUGGGGGAGAGAAGAAAAGGAGAGUUGGUCUCAGAGGUCUCCCCCAGCUCUGUCACUGUUGGACGCAUCCAAUUUCUGUAAGUGAUGGAGAAGAGGUUUGGGCGUGGAAAUGAAGGCAAGGGUUUGGGUAAGGGAGGAGCAAAACGACAUCGUAAGGUCUUCCGCGAUAUCAUCAGCGGCACCAAGCCGUCGACGGGGAGGAGAAGGAGAUUGGAAAGCAGGGAUUGAAGAAGAAACUCCUAAAGGAAGGUGAAGGCUGGGAUAUACCCCGAAUACAUCACACCGGGAAUUUGGUGGACAGGACACAGUUCGAUUCGAGGGGGGACAUGGAUCAGUUCACUCAGACAAGGUGUUGUAUUAUUCAGUAUCGAAUAUUUAUGCACACAAGGUACUAAAGUAUUUGGGUAACUAGACAUCACGGGAAUGAUUGAGACUAGAGUGGUCAGCUGGUGACUUCCACCAAGGAGGUGCAUAUUACGUGUAAAGAUGCGGUUGUUUCCGGUUUAUCAGAUGGAGACCAAAGAGGCUAUUUCCGCUUACUAGAGGGAGCAUGAAAGGUACUGACUUGUGAGAAUAGUCUAGAUUGUGAUGUAGGGUCUUAAGUAUUUAGAUCUGGUUUGUAUUGUAAAGGUUUCUUUAAAUCUCUCAUCCCAAAGGAUAAGUACAAGUAGGAAUUCAAUAGUUUUUUGUUUUUAUAAUUACCAUACGGCUUCAAGUUAAGCAGAGAGCACAUUUUUCUGUUUCGUUCAA